AUGAUAUUGACACAGUUAAAUACAACAAAAGUUUUAAUCUAAAAUUAAUUUAAUAAUCUAACUCUCUGAAAAAUAAUUAGAAGGAGAGCAAGUACGCUGUGUGGACAUAAAUAAAGAAUACAAACAAGUCAAUCCAAGAAUUUGAAAUAUUAUAUGUUUAAUUAAUGAAAGAAAAAAGAAAGAUAAGUAGAUAAGUAAUCAGAUGAAGAAGUGAGGUUGCCAAGCCAGCUCUUUAUAGAACCCUCACUCGCUCUUUUCGAAUUCUCCAAUAUAUCACUCAGUAUAUUAAAUAACGUAGUAUCAAUCAUUCUAUGUUACGUCAUUACGCGGGAAUCUUGUCCAUUUAUUAAAUUCUAUAAUUAGUAGUACACAAAAGAGCCAUUCCGAAUCCUUCUGGUCUAGAGAAUUCCCUGGUCCGUCUGUAAUCUUUAUUCACGGUAAAAAUUCAUCAUUUUCCUAUAAUCUCUUACUGGGCAGAAACGGCUUCUAGGAUCUCCAUGGUGUGGAGUACAUACUCUUCCAGCCUUGGUGGAAUAGGCAAUAUUUUAUUAUUAACCCCAUAUAUUAUCCCUUGGACUUUAGAGAUCAUAUAUUCAAUUUUGAGGUUCUGUUUGUAUUUCGAAGACGUGGCUACAAGCUAAUUUAAAGGGCAGAGUUCUUGGCCUUGCUUUUCACGCAUAAUACAAUCUACCAUUUUAACAACGGGACCCACUCUUGAGAAAAAAUAAAACAGUGGAAUGAGCUCUCGAUGUUUUCUUUAAAAAAGAGGACAUUCUACACUCAACCAUUUGUUUUGCCCUUUUUUUAAAUAAAGAAGAGGUGGCCAAUCGGUAUCUUAACCAUUUUUAAUGGGAAUCUGUUAGUUAUUUUUUCAAUAUUGUUUUAGGCUUAAUACCUCUACUAUUUCUUUUAGGUCCAGUCUCUCCAAUCUACUCUUGACGAUAAGAAACGACUCUACGUUAGUAUCACUGUUUAUUAAGGAUCUUAUUCUACCAUUAGAGAGUUCGUCCAUUGCCAUGAAGAAGGAUGUUGAAGACUCGAGGUUACUGGUUUUGGAACGGUAGCAUAAGACUAAUCUCUUGGUUCUACUUAAUGGACCUACGACCUACCCAUCUGUAUCCAGUAUUGACCACAUUUUUUCAUAUCCCACCAAAUAGCUACGAUGGUCCCAUAAACACUAUGUCAUUCAUAUCAUGACCAAUUUGUUUCUCAAACUCCCCCCUUGAUCCUCAACGCCCAGAAUCACUGAUUUUUUCUCAUUUUAUUCCCAAAGCGGGCGUGGACACUUCGAAUCCUAGUAGGGCUGGUGCUAAGACAAAUUUGAAAUUCCCUAAUUGUGGCCUCAAAUCUUCCUCGCAAUUGGUAACGAGCAUCGUCUUUCCUAAUUUUUAAUUUUUCCAAGAUUGCACGAAGGGAUCCUGUUACUUCCUCUCUGGAGCCUGAACAGAAAACGGUGACAUAUUCAGCAUAUAAAAGACAUUUCAGAGGAAUAUUUUUCUCGGCGAUAUACUUUAUAUCCUUGAAACCAAGUUUAUCAUCUUCCAUAGAUCAUUCAUCGCUAUUAUGAAAAGAGAAGGGGAAAGAAGAUCUCCUUGUCGAGCCGCUUUAAGUAUAGAGAAUCUAUCAGGCGAUCCCGGAAUACCAACUAUUGUUUUGGAAUUUAAACUUAUUGCACAGAUCUUUUCAAUGAAGCCCUCCGGGAACCCAAAUAGUGUCAAUUGUUCGAUGAUGUAUUUCAAAAUCCAUCAGCACCGUUGCAUACUUACUUCCUGUUGAAGAGUCUAUAGUACUAAUCCUGAACUGAGCGUGGAAUAUUUUCUAUUAGGCGAAGUUUCAUAAACCCUUUUUGAGCUGGAGAGAUGAUUUGUGGGAGAUAUUUCAUUAUUCGGCGAUUAAGAAUGCCUGUGAUUAUUUGGUAUAAUGAUCAAAGUCAGCCAGUCACAACUCAUAAAGUCUGGGAUAAAGCCUUUCUUAAAUAUUUCCUCGAAAACCUUUGCGAGUAUUGGUGAUAGAAGUAAAUCAAACUGUUUAUAGAUGAAAAACUUCACACACACACCUUCCAUACGAAAGACAUGUCUUCAAGAUUUGACCUGUUCUUACUGAAAGGAUAUUUAACGGAAUCUACAAUUUCUUAUAAUGUAAUAGAUACUCAACUAUCAUCCAACCAUAAAGCCAUCAACAUUCAAUUCAAUCCAAAGUCUAAAGAAUUGAGACAAAAAGGCCAAUGGUAAUUAAAUUCAGUACUUUUAGAUGACUCCGACACAAAUGAUGAAAUUAUCGACAUUAUUCAGAGAACAUAUUAUAAUUUAGCUCGCCCUGCAAACGUAUUUAUGCAAGUGGAAGAAAUGUUUUUGAAAAUCAAUAGUCUACCUCGAAAAAAGGGAGGUAUGCGAGCCGCGGAAAAAAUUCGUUAUCUUCCUAAGAUUGAAAAAAUCUCAAAUCGUGAUUUAAAUCCCACAAUUAAAAAAGAAAAAGUUUUGUCAACUAUUCAGGGAAGCAGACUUAUUCUACAGGAUGAAACUUCAACGUGACUCCAUUGAAGACAUCUCCCAUUCCCCCUUGCGAUGUAUUGUUGAAGAAAACAACAAGAACAAGAAGAAAAAUAUAUCAAUUUACACGUCAUCUGGAAAACUCACUAACAACCCUGAAUAUAUUUGCCAGGACAUCAAAAAAUGCUACUCU
rnacentral:lncRNA from 1 species